AAAAAAAUCGGACCGUCGAUCUACCGAGCAAUAAUAUCACCCGCUCGGUGGAAGAUCUUCCCUAUGUCGU
rnacentral:pre_miRNA from 1 species